AGAGUUUGAUCAUGGCUCAGGACGAACGCUGGCGGCGCGCCUAAUCCAUGCAAGUCGAGCGACGCAUUCCUUAGCCCGUAAGGGCGGGUUUGACGGAGCGGCGAACGGGUGCGUAACACGUGACCAAUCUGCCCCGAAGACCGGGAUAGCCCGGGGAAACCCGGAUUAAUACCGGAUGAUCUCACCACCACGCAUGUGGAGGUGAGCAAAGGCUCAGGCGCUUCGGGAUGAGGUCGCGGCCCAUCAGCUUGUUGGUGAGGUAACGGCUCACCAAGGCAAUUACGGGUAGCUGGUCUGAGAGGACGAUCAGCCACACUGGAACUGAGAUACGGUCCAGACUCCUACGGGAGGCAGCAGGAGGGAAUCUUGCGCAAUGGGCGAAAGCCUGACGCAGCGACGCCGCGUGGGGGAUGAAUGCCUUAGGGUUGUAAACCCCUUUCACGAGGGAAGAAACUGACGGUACCUCGAGAAGAAGCCCCGGCCAACUACGUGCCAGCAGCCGCGGUAAUACGUAGGGGGCGAGCGUUGUCCGGAUUUAUUGGGCGUAAAGGGCUCGUAGGCGGCUUGGCAAGUCGGCCGUGAAAACCCAGGGCUCAACUCUGGGACGCCGGUCGAUACUGCCAUGGCUAGGGUCCGGUAGAGGGNAAUGGAAUUCCCGGUGUAGCGGUGAAAUG
rnacentral:rRNA from 1 species